rnacentral:rRNA from 1 species
UCGAGGGCGAACGCUGGCGGCGUGCUUAACACAUGCAAGUCGAACGGUGACCCAGGGCUUGCCCUGGUGAUCAGUGGCGAACGGGUGAGUAACACGUGGGCAACCUGCCCCUGACUUCGGGAUAACUCCUCGAAAGAGGAGCUAAUACCGGAUACGACCACUUCGGACAUCCGAUGGUGGUGGAAAGUUUUUCGGUCAGGGAUGGGCCCGCGGCCUAUCAGCUAGUUGGUGGGGUAAUGGCCUACCAAGGCGACGACGGGUAGCCGGCCUGAGAGGGCGACCGGCCACACUGGGACUGAGACACGGCCCAGACUCCUACGGGAGGCAGCAGUGGGGAAUAUUGCGCAAUGGGCGAAAGCCUGACGCAGCGACGCCGCGUGAGGGAUGAAGGCCUUCGGGUUGUAAACCUCUUUCAGCAGGGACGAAGCGAAAGUGACGGUACCUGCAGAAGAAGCACCGGCUAACUACGUG